rnacentral:rRNA from 1 species
GGAUUAGAUACCCUGGUAGUCCACGCUGUAAACGAUGAUUACUCGAUGCUGGCGAUACACAGUCAGUGUCCAAGCGAAAGCGUUAAGUAAUCCACCUGGGGAGUACGGUCGCAAGAUUGAAACUCAAAGGAAUUGACGGGGGCCCGCACAAGCGGUGGAGCAUGUGGUUUAAUUCGAUGAUGCGCGAGGAACCUUACCAAGGCUUGAAUGUAAGUUGAUCGUCUGUGAAAGCAGUCUUUUCUUCGGAACAAUUUACAAGGUGCUGCAUGGUUGUCGUCAGCUCGUGCUG